GUUGUUAUAUAGGGAGACUUCGAUUAGGCCCAGGUUCUCAAAAACCUCCAAUGUCCUCAAAUGUCUCAAUUCCAUAGACAAUGACAUAGUCUGGAUGCAUCAAAGUUCCCUAAGGAUCUCAAGAAUCCUGGGCAGUGUUUACACCUAGACUUGGUAACCAAAAGUUGAACAAGUGCAGUAUGGAAGGGCUAGCCUCAGUAUACCAGAGUUCAGAGGGUUCUCAAGAGGAUCCAAGGCAGUACACAUAUUAGAGGGGGAAGAACUUAUUGACUUAGGAGUAGAGUGAAAGUAAUUGACACACGUUGAAAGGUUUUAGUAAAAAAACUGUAUUAAAACAAAAGUCUAUUUGAAAGUAAUUUAGUAAAACAACAGAGACUGUUUGAAAAUAGAUUGGAGAAAUGAACACAAGUCCAAACACAACACCUUAGGAUAGGUUUAUACAUAGCCAGUAGUCACAGAACCAAAGUAAAUUCAGCAGUGACACACAUGGGUCAAGGGGUUUGGGAUUCAUGUAACACUUGAUUGCAAACACAUAGUCAAGCAAAGGUCUAGGAAUUGGUAUAGACAAGCUCAGAAACCGCUAACCAGGCAUAGUCACAAUACCAUACAUAAAGAACAAAAUCACAUCCAUGGGUGAUAAGAAUUGGGGGAUUGAUGGAGCAUAUGAUAGUAAGUACAUAACAAGUAAGAAAUAAUUGGUAUAAACAUGCUCACAAACACACAUGAGGGGCAAUAUACUGAUCUCAAGAAAGGGAAAGACAUAAUAACAUGCUAAUAAUGUAACCAUCAACUACAAGAUUCACAACAAAAUCAUAAGUAGAAGCAAACUAGAAACAGGAUGAACUGAAGCAAUAAGAAAAUCAUAUUAUUGUUAGAACUUUGAAUGGAAACUAAGAACACACCAGUAAAGAGGAUAGUAAGAAAAAUGAAAGUACAGGAGAACACAGUGGUUAGCCUUGGCUUGCAGCCGGCUAACUUAGAGUAGUAGCAAGUAGUACAAAAGAUAGCAGAAAGUUUAAGUGUGAGAGAUAGUUUUUGAACCAAGAGUUCAUGUAGUGCUAAUGAAAGACUAAGGUCUUUAUAGUUUGAAAGUAGGUAGGAAAUAAGGUAAAAAUCAAAGGACAUUAGUAAUUAGGGAACUCAGAAUCAAUCAGUCGGGAAAUUAAGGUAUGUACUCUAUUUAAUUGAGGAAUUAACCUCAAACGGUAAUAGACAUAUAACAAAUAAGGAAGGAAAUCAUAUAAGGCUCAACAUGUCAAUUAAGGAAAUAUUUUCUGCAUAUUACAAGUACACAAUAUGUAAUAGACACGAGGUUCAGCAUACUUCAAUCAAGGAAAGACUUGAGCAAUCAAUUAAUCGCAUUAUUGACCAUAGAGUAAGGUAAGAAAACAUUCUACAAGGUAAAACUCAGUAGAAAUAAUAUUCGGAAUCAGUGAAAGAUCAAUCACAAAGAUUCAAGGAUGCAAGAAUAUGCGAUAACACUAAUUAAGCACCACUUUAUAAGAACAAGCACAUGGUAAGCAAAAAAUUAGAACCCUGAGAGGUCGAGUAGGACAAGAAUCACAUAUAAAAUAGGGGAUUCGUCUAGCGCAUAGUAAGAAUUAGUAGGCUAAGCAUGAUAUAGGUAGGAGAAGUGAAGAAUAAGAAACAUUAGUGAACAAAAUAGGGGAAAAUCACACAAUAGGCAAGGAUAACCAUAAUUAGGGACCCUAACUAGCGAACUUAGGACAAAAAAUCACAAAAUAAUAUAAACAUACAGAUUAACUGAACAUAUUAUCAAAAUAAAAUUUAGAAACCCAAGGUUAGGACUAAGAAAUUAGGCUUUUCAACAUAGGCGAGUUGAAAAAAGGAGGAAAUUUAUAGAAUCAGUUAAGAUAUGCUAGAGAUAGAAGUUGUAAACAUGAAGAAUCGGUUUAACAAAGUGUAGAAGAAGUUCCAAAAACCCUGACUUUAAAAGAAAGUAAAAACAACUUGAAAUCAAUGAUUUUUGUAAAAGAGGUGCGAGAACAGUGUAAAACAUAAAAGGAACAUACUCGAAUCAUUUAAGAAUAACACAGAUCUAAGAGGCGCAAAAAAAAUUAGGGUUUCAAAAGAAACCUAAAUAGAGAUGGAAAAACCUGUUUAAAACAUCAAAGAUCGUAACAAAUACGGUGGGAUUUUGCUCAAAAUCAACCUGGAGUAGCCAUGAACAGCCAAAACAGCAAACUAGAUACAAGUCGACGUGGCCCAGGGCCCUUGAAGGCCUCAGAGAAUAUGAGAAAGGCAAUAGAUGUGUCAUUGGAGGCUUGGGGUUGAAGGGUGGUCACUGGAUAAGGGAGAUGGUUGAAAGGGGUCAGGGAUAGGUUGAGAGAAGAGAGGAGAUGAGAGAAUUUGAGAGCUGCG
rnacentral:lncRNA from 1 species